rfam:Trametes pubescens strain FBCC735 TRAPTBscaffold_915, whole genome shotgun sequence.
GGCGCUAUAGCCAAGUGGUUACGGCGAGUGAUUAGAAAUCACUUCCUCUUUGAGGGCGCAGGUUCGAGUCCUGCUGGCGUCG